UACGUAGGGUGCGAGCGUUACUCGGAAUUACUGGGCGUAAAGCGUGCGCAGGCGGUUCGUUAAGUCAGAUGUGAAAGCCCCGGGCUCAACCUGGGGACUGCAUUUGAAACUGGCGGGCUUGAGUAUGGCAGAGGGGGGUGGAAUUCCGCGUGUAGCAGUGAAAUGCGUAGAGAUGCGGAGGAACACCGAUGGCGAAGGCAGCCCCCUGGGCCAAUACUGACGCUCAGGCACGAAAGCGUGGGGAGCAAACAGG
rnacentral:rRNA from 1 species